rnacentral:sRNA from 1 species
AGAGGUGAUGCUGGAGCAUAUGAGGAGGGGGAUUCAGUUCCAGGAUUAGAAGCCUAGACUGGGAGCCUAAGCCGGGAAGAGACUGGAUGAGGCCUCGGUACUGGAAGACGAGAUAAGGAGAAUAAAAAAGGAGUGUAGGAUGGAGGAGUUGGGUGUGCAGGAAAUGGAAGGAGGAGUACCCACCACCUUGUGCCCCGCCCCCCCAGAUUGCAGAUCUGACUCAGAAGAUCUUUGACCUUCGAGGCAAGUUUAAGCGGCCCACCCUGCGGAGAGUGAGGAUCUCUGCAGAUGCCAUGAUGCAGGCGCUGCUGGGGGCCCGGGCUAAGGAGUCCCUGGACCUGCGGGCCCACCUCAAGCAGGUGAAGAAGGAGGACACCGAGAAGGAAAACCGGGAGGUGGGAGACUGGCGCAAGAACAUCGAUGCACUGAGUGGAAUGGAGGGCCGCAAGAAAAAGUUUGAGAGCUGAGCCUUCCUGCCUACUGCCCCUGCCCUGCGGAGGGCCCUGAGGAAUAAAGCUUCUCUCUGAGCUG